rnacentral:lncRNA from 1 species
AUGGCGUUCCCCCAAAAUUUGCCAUUUCCCCCAUUAUCUACAACGUCCCCAAUGUCUACAAUGUCCCCAAAAUCUACGAUGUCCCCAAUAUCUAAAAUGUCCCCAAUGUCUAUGAUGUCCCCAACGUUCAUAUGGGCCACGUUUAGGAUGUCCCCAAUGUCUACGAUGUCCCCAAAAUCUACGAUGUCCCCAAUAUCUACGAUGUCCCCAAUGUCUACGGUGUCCCCAACGCGGCCAAUUUCAUGGUGUCCCCAAAAAAUUUGCCAUUUUCCCCAUUAUCUACGAUGUCCCCAAUGUCUACAAUGUCCCCAAAAUCUACGAUGUCCCCAAUCUCUACGAUGUCCCCAAAAUCUACGAUGUCCCCAAAAUCUACGAUGUCCCCAAAAUCUACGAUGUCCCCAAUGUUCAUAUCGCCAACAUUUAGGAUGUCCCCAAUGUCUACGAUGUCCCCAACGCACCCAAUUUCAUGGCGUCCCCCCCAAAAUUUACCGUUUCCCCCAAUAUCUACGAUGUCCCCAAUGUCUACGACAUCCCCAAUGUCUACGAUGUCCCCAAAAUCUACGAUGUCCCCAACGUUCACAUCACCAACGUUUAGGAUGUCCCCAAUGUCUACGGUGUAGCCAACGCGGCCAAUUUCAUGGCGUCCCCCCCCAAAAUUUGCCAUUUUCCCCAAUAUCUACGACGUCCCCAAUGUCUACAAUGUCCCCAAUGUCUACGAUGUACCCAACGCGGCCAAUUUCAUGGCGUUCCCCCAAAAUUUGCCAUUUCCUCAGUAUCUACGAUGUCCCCAAUGCCUACGAUGUCCCCAAAAUCUAUGGUGUCCCCAAUCUCUACGAUGUCCCCAACGUUCACAUCACCAACGUUUAGGAUGUCCCCAAUGUCUACGGUGUAGCCAACACGGCCAAUUUCAUGGCGUCCCCCCCAAAAUUUGCCAUUUUCCCCAUUAUCUACAAUGUCCCCAAUGUCUACGAUGUCCCCAAUAUCUAAAAUGUCCCCAAUAUCUAAAAUGUCCCCAAUAUCUAUGAUGUCCCCAAAAUCUACGAUGUCCCUAACGUUCACAUCACCAACAUUUAGGAUGUCCCCAAUGUCUACGAUGUCCCCAGUGUACCCAAUUUCAUGGCGUCCCCAAAAAUUUGCCAUUUUCCCCAUUAUCUACGAUGUCCCCAAUAUCUACGAUGUCCCCAAUAUC